rnacentral:rRNA from 1 species
GAUGAACGCUAGCUACAGGCUUAACACAUGCAAGUCGAGGGGAAACGACAUCGAAAGCUUGCUUUUGAUGGGCGUCGACCGGCGCACGGGUGAGUAACGCGUAUCCAACCUGCCCAUCACUUGGGAAUAACCUUGCGAAAGUAAGACUAAUACCCAAUGAUAUCCCACGAAGGCAUCGGAAUGGGAUUAAAGAUUUAUCGGUGAUGGAUGGGGAUGCGUCUGAUUAGCUUGUUGGCGGGGUAACGGCCCACCAAGGCAACGAUCAGUAGGGGUUCUGAGAGGAAGGUCCCCCACAUUGGAACUGAGACACGGUCCAAACUCCUACGGGAGGCAGCAGUGAGGAAGAUUGGUCAAUGGGCGAGAGCCUGAACCAGCCAAGUAGCGUGCAGGAAGACGGCCCUAUGGGUUGUAAACUGCUUUUAGAAGGGAAUAAAGUGGGUCACGUGUGACUUUUUGCAUGUACCUUAUGAAUAAGGACCGGCUAAUUCCGUG